rnacentral:rRNA from 1 species
UACAGAGACUGCAAGCGUUAUUCGGAUUUACUGGGCGUAAAGGGUGCGCAGGCGGCCUAGUGUGUGAGACGUGAAAGCCCGGGGCUUAACCCCGGAAUUGCACCUCAAACUACACGGCUAGAGCAUUGGAGAGGGUAGCAGAAUUCAUGGUGUAGCAGUGAAAUGCGUAGAUAUCGUGAGGAACACCAGAGGCGAAGGCGGCUACCUGGACAAUUGCUGACGCUCAGGCACGAAAGCAUGGGGAGCAAACAGG